rnacentral:rRNA from 1 species
GAUGAACGCUGGCGGCGUGCCUAAUACAUGCAAGUCGAGCGAAUGGAUUAAGAGCUUGCUCUUAUGAAGUUAGCGGCGGACGGGUGAGUAACACGUGGGUAACCUGCCCAUAAGACUGGGAUAACUCCGGGAAACCGGGGCUAAUACCGGAUAAUAUUUUGAACUGCAUGGUUCAAAAUUGAAAGGCGGCUUCGGCUGUCAUUUAUGGAUGGACCCGGGUCGCAUUAGCUAGUUGGUGAGGUAACGGCUCACCAAGGCAACGAUGCGUAGCCGACCUGAGAGGGUGAUCGGCCACACUGGGACUGAGACACGGCCCAGACUCCUACGGGAGGCAGCAGCAGGGAAUCUUCCGCAAUGGACGAAAGUCUGACGGAGCAACGCCGCGUGAGUGAUGAAGGCUUUCGGGUCGUAAAACUCUGUUGUUAGGGAAGAACAAGUGCUAGUUGAAUAAGCUGGCACCUUGACGGUACCUAACCAGAAAGCCACGGCUAACUACGUGCCAGCCGCCGCAGUAA